rnacentral:ncRNA from 1 species
AUUAUGGCUAUGAUUGAUUGAAGUAGUACUAAGAUUCCCUUUUGCAGAGAGCUAACGUAUGGUGAAAGUUAGUAAACAGUCUUAUGACGAAUUACGUUCAAGAGCUUCUUCAUGUUGAAUGAAGACGGUGUGGUCUGCAUCGUUAUUUCCUUAAGUGGCAAUAAGUUAUUUAUUGCAACAAGGGUGGUACCGCGAAUUUUCUCGUCCCUUUU